CAGUCGCCACGGUAAUACGGAGGGUGCAAGCGUUAAUCGGAAUUACUGGGCGUAAAGCGCACGCAGGCGGUCUGUCAAGUCGGAUGUGAAAUCCCCGGGCUCAACCUGGGAACUGCAUUCGAAACUGGCAGGCUAGAGUCUUGUAGAGGGGGGUAGAAUUCCAGGUGUAGCGGUGAAAUGCGUAGAGAUCUGGAGGAAUACCGGUGGCGAAGGCGGCCCCCUGGACAAAGACUGACGCUCAGGUGCGAAAGCGUGGGGAGCAAACAGGAUUAGAUACCCCAGUAGUCCCUGUCUCUUAUAC
rnacentral:rRNA from 1 species